AAGGCUAUGCCUCCAGGGAUCAUUUCUAUAGUUCAUUUCUGGAGACAUUUCUCUGAUCUUGAAGAGUACUGGAAAUCACAAGGAAGAGGCCCAGAAUUCCUUUCAUGAAGGUAAAGCCAGUUCUUUGUGUUGCUUUACUACAACUGCCUUUGCCAUUGAUGACUGUUCUCGCACUUCCUUUGGGAGAGUGAGAAAGGGGAGGACAGUCUGUGAGCU
ensembl:snoRNA U3 Small nucleolar RNA U3